UAAAGAACAAGAUUACAAGAUGUGUUAAAAACUCUAGUUUUACAAUUCUUAUAGAAUGUAGGCUGCAUCCAAUCCAAAGAAUGUCAAAAUUGUAAGUAAUUGUUGUCUUCCAAAAAAAAAGGUACCUGUAUCGGUAGCAAUACUCUACCUUUGGACACAUGAUAUAACCCAAAUAGAUGGCAUGGCAUGCAAAAUAAAUAGGAGCUGAAAUUUGUUUCUUUGAUGUUACAAGCUCAUUUGUACCAGCCAGCAAGUAAAUACCUUAGCAAGAAACAGAAGCAGCAUCCAAUAGCCUGAACAAGAAGAAGAUGGAUACAAAGAGACUUUUCUGACUUUCUGCCAAAAAUUCUUAAAUAAACAUUGACAAC
rnacentral:misc_RNA from 1 species